rnacentral:tRNA from 1 species
UCUUCUGUGGCUUAUUUGGUGAAAGCGUCGGAGUAGCGAAAGGGAGUCAUGGGUUCAAAUCCCACCAAAACAA